CGUUGCCCUAGUGAAGCCCCACAGAAGGCUCAAGAAACCUCCCCAGGCCUCUCCUUACGGGACUGGCUGCUCAGUUCUCAAAGCCACCUUGUGAUUUCUACUGAAAGAGGGUUACAUAAUGGCAGGUCGCUAUACAGUAAUGUCCUCUUAAAAAAACAUGGAAGGGGAUUUAUUUACGGUGGUAUGGGGACUGCAGGAGCUAUUGACUUGGGCCCCGGAACUUAUUUCUGUAUUAUAAGGUAACAAGGAAGCAAACUCUUUAUCACCCGUUACAAAUUACUUUAACACAGCUGAUACCAGAAGGGGAAAGAGACACACACACAGUACCCUCAGAAUGUGAACAUUAUGCCCUCUGUCCAGAAUGCCGGCAUGACAGAGAUCUAGAAGGGUGGGGAUCUGUUCAUGCAAGAAUAUCCCACUGCGAAGCUAACAUCACACAGAACCUUGAUGCACAGGCGCUAAAUCAUCACCAACAACUGGUUUGACUUAAAGCAGUUUCCUAAUCACACACAAGCACAGUGACCUCUCAAAAAGUUCUUUAUGAAAAUGCUCCCCCACUCACUCUUCCCUGACAUUUCUGAAGAUUUCUGAUCAAUACCUAACUGUGAGAACACAGCACUAGAGAAAAACAUCAUCGCCAGUCCAGUGGUCAGCUCACUGAGGACGCGGAUGAGUCAAUAUUCAAAAACUGUGAUGCACCAUGCGCUUAGCGUGGAACUUAACAAAUGUUCAAAGACUAAUUAACGUUCUGAGCACGUAUUCUCUGAAUGGCAAAGUCUGUAUAUGCUAGCAACCACAAAUCAGUGAUCACCAAGGUUAGAAAAAUCUACACUGAAGAAAAAAAUUCCCAGUCCUUCUACCCCAAGGAGUCUUGGUAAACCCAAAGAAUUAUUUAAUUUUAACAUUUCUUUUCAGUUACACAGCAAACCACCUUUGGGAUGUUCCUGAUGUUUCAUAUGCAUUACUUCAGGUAAACCUCAGAAAAGUCCCUACUAAGCACCAGACAACAGGAAAGAAUGUUACUAUUACCAGCACGGAAAAAAACAGCUACUUGACAGAAGAAACAACCCCAACCAUCCUCACUGUAAGAAGAGUGUUACUUCUCUGUAAGAAGCCGCCUCCCUGGCAGCUGCCGUUAUUACAGGAAGUGUCUCCUCUGUGCCAGUGGAAAUACACGUGAACGCCAGACGGAAAAGACUGACUCGCAGCACUUGAGUACUUUAUGUGCAGCAAAUCUAUGUUGUUACUUGUGACACCACAAGACCUGAGCUGAACUGUAACCCACUCUCAAGCAAGCAGACAAGUGGUGUUGCUGUGAUAGCUACUGCAGUAAGAUGAGGACCCUGGCUCAUCUUGUUGAGAGCAGCAGCUACGGGAGCAGAGCCCACGAGCUCUAGGAGGAAGGGACUGUGCUGGCUCAAUGC